AUUGAACGCUGGCGGCAGGCCUAACACAUACAAGUCGAGCGGAUGAAGGGAGCUUGCUCCUGGAUUCAGCGGCGGACGGGUGAGUAAUGCCUAGGAAUCUGCCUGGUAGUGGGGGAUAACGUCCGGAAACGGGCGCUAAUACCGCAUACGUCCUGAGGGAGAAAGUGGGGGAUCUUCGGACCUCACGCUAUCAGAUGAGCCUAGGUCGGAUUAGCUAGUUGGUGGGGUAAAGGCCUACCAAGGCGACGAUCCGUAACUGGUCUGAGAGGAUGAUCAGUCACACUGGAACUGAGACACGGUCCAGACUCCUACGGGUGGCAGCAGUGGGGAAUAUUGGACAAUGGGCGAAAGCCUGAUCCAGCCAUGCCGCGUGUGUGAAGAAGGUCUUCGGAUUGUAAAGCACUUUAAGUUGGGAGGAAGGGCAGUAAGUUAAUACCUUGCUGUUUUGACGUUACCAACAGAAUAAGCACCGGCUAACUUCGUG
rnacentral:rRNA from 1 species